rnacentral:lncRNA from 1 species
GACAUAACUAUUAUCAACUAUUGAGUGUGACUUGAAUUUGGUGUGACCUAUGGUAUGAAUUGACUCAUAAAUACUUCAGUUGGCCCAUUUGGAAAGUUUGGCCUUUUCUCUUUAUUUUAGGAUUUGGUAGCUAUAUAUUUAUAUAUUAUAAUUACAUCUUUUAUUAUUUAAGAACCUGCUGUAUAUUCUUUGUACUCCAUCUUUUUUGAUAUAGUGAAAUCUUUUCCUAUCUUCACCCAU